UGACGUUGGGAAAGCGAGCGGCGGAUGGGUGAGUAACACGUGGGGAACCUGCCCCUAAGUCUGGGAUACCAUUUGGAAACAGGUGCUAAUACCGGAUAAUAAAGCAGAUCGCAUGAUCAGCUUUUGAAAGGCGGCGUAAGCUGUCGCUAAGGGAUGGCCCCGCGGUGCAUUAGCUAGUUGGUAAGGUAACGGCUUACCAAGGCGACGAUGCAUAGCCGAGUUGAGAGACUGAUCGGCCACAUUGGGACUGAGACACGGCCCAAACUCCUACGGGAGGCAGCAGUAGGGAAUCUUCCACAAUGGACGCAAGUCUGAUGGAGCAACGCCGCGUGAGUGAAGAAGGUUUUCGGAUCGUAAAGCUCUGUUGUUGGUGAAGAAGGAUAGAGGUAGUAACUGGCCUUUAUUUGACGGUAAUCAACCAGAAAGUCACGGCUAACUACGUGCCAGCAGCCGCGGUAAUACGUAGGUGGCAAGCGUUGUCCGGAUUUAUUGGGCGUAAAGCGAGCGCAGGCGGAAAAAUAAGUCUAAUGUGAAAGCCCUCGGCUUAACCGAGGAACUGCAUCGGAAACUGUUUUUCUUGAGUGCAGAAGAGGAGAGUGGAACUCCAUGUGUAGCGGUGGAAUGCGUAGAUAUAUGGAAGAACACCAGUGGCGAAGGCGGCUCUCUGGUCUGCAACUGACGCUGAGGCUCGAAAGCAUGGGUAGCGAACAGGAUUAGAUACCCUGGUAGUCCAUGCCGUUAAACGAUGA
rnacentral:rRNA from 1 species